rnacentral:rRNA from 1 species
AACAGGAUUAGAUACCCUGGUAGUCCACGCCCUAAACGAUGUCUACUAGUUGUUGGUGGAGUAAAAUCCAUGAGUAACGCAGCUAACGCGUGAAGUAGACCGCCUGGGGAGUACGGUCGCAAGAUUAAAACUCAAAUGAAUUGACGGGGGCCCGCACAAGCGGUGGAUUAUGUGGAUUAAUUCGAUGCAACGCGAAAAACCUUACCUGGCCUUGACAUGUAACGAACUUUCCAGAGAUGGAUUGGUGCUCGAAAGAGAACGUUAACAUAGGUGCUGCAUGGCUGUCGUCAGCUCGUGUCGUGAGAUGUUGGGUUAAGUCCCGCAACGAGCGCAACCCUUGCCAAUAAUUGCCAUCAUUUAGUUGGGCACUUUAUUGGGACUGCCGAUGACAAAUCGGAGGAAGGUGGGGAUGACGUCAAGUCCUCAUGGCCCUUAUGGCCAGGGCUUCACACGUAAUACAAUGGUCGGUACAGAGGGUUGCCAAGCCGCAAGGUGGAGCCAAUCCCAGAAAGCCGAUCGUAGUCCGGAUUGAGGUCUGCAACUCGACCUCAUGAAGUCGGAAUCGCUAGUAAUCGCGGAUCAGCAUGUCGCGGUGAAUACGUUCCCGGGCCUUGUACACACCGCCCGUCACACCAUGGGAGUGGGUUUUACCAGAAGUAGGUAGUCUAACCGCAAGGAGGACGCUUACCACGGUAGUAUUCAUGACUGGGGUGAAGUCGUAACAAGGUAACC